rnacentral:rRNA from 1 species
AAGGUAGCGAAAUUCCUUGUCGGGUAAGUUCCGACCUGCACGAAUGGCGUAACGACUUCCCCACUGUCUCCAGCACACACUCAGUGAAAUUGAAUUCCCCGUGAAGAUGCGGGGUUCCUGCGGUUAGACGGAAAGACCCCGUGCACCUUUACUGUAGCUUUACACUGGCAAUCGUGUUUGCAUGUGUAGGAUAGGUGGUAGGCUUUGAAGCAGGGGCGCCAGCUCUUGUGGAGCCGCAAUGUGAAAUACCACCCUUAUGAACAUGGUUGUCUAACCGCGGACCGUCAUCCGGUCCCGGGACAUUGUAUGGUAGGCAGUUUGACUGGGGCGGUCGCCUCCUAAAUGGUAACGGAGGCGUGCGAAGGUGGGCUCAGGUUGGUCGGAAAUCAACCGUCGAGUGCAAUGGCAUAAGCCCGCCUGACUGCGAGACUGACAAGUCGAGCAGAGUCGAAAGACGGCCAUAGUGAUCCGGUGGUUCUGUGUGGAAGGGCCAUCGCUCAACGAAUAAAAGGUACGCCGGGGAUAACAGGCUGAUGAUUCCCAAGAGUCCAUAUCGACGGAAUCGUUUGGCACCUCGAUGUCGGCUCAUCUCAUCCUGGGGCUGGAGCAGGUCCCAAGGGUAUGGCUGUUCGCCAUUUAAAGAGGUACGUGAGCUGGGUUCCGAACGUCGCGAGACAGUUCGGUCCCUAUCUGCCGUAGGCGUUGGAGAAUUGAGAGGAUCUGUCCUUAGUACGAGAGGACCGGGUUGGACGCACCUCUGGUGGACCUGUUGUCGCGCCAGCGGCACAGCAGGGUAGCUAUGUGCGGACGGGAUAACCGCUGAAGGCAUCUAAGCGGGAAACCCACCUCGAGAUCAGUUCUCCCUUGAGAGCCGUUGUAGACCACAACGUUGAUAGGCCGGGUGUGGAAGUGCAGCAAUGCAUGUAGCUUACCGGUACUAAUAGCUCGAUCGAACUUCGAUC